rnacentral:tRNA from 1 species
GGGGGGUUAGCUCAGAUGGGAGAGCAGCUGGUUCGCAAUCAGCAGGUCGAGGGUUCGAUCCCCUUGCCCUCCACCA